UACGUAGGCAGCGAGCGUUGUUCGGAAUUACUGGGCGUAAAGGGCGCGUAGGCGGCCUUCUAAGUCGAACGUGAAAGCCCCGGGCUCAACCUGGGAAUUGCAUUCGAGACUGAAUAGCUAGGGUGCGGUAGAGGGAAGCGGAAUUUCCGGUGUAGCGGUGAAAUGCGUAGAUAUCGGAAGGAACAUCAGUGGCGAAAGCGGCUUCCUGGACCAGCACCGACGUUCAGGCACGAAAGCGUGGGGAGCAAACAGG
rnacentral:rRNA from 1 species